UACAGAGGGGGCAAGCGUUGUUCGGAAUUACUGGGCGUAAAGGGCGCGUAGGCGGCCCGCUAAGUCGAACGUGAAAUCCCCGGGCUCAACCCGGGAACUGCGUCCGAUACUGGUGGGCUCGAAUCCGGGAGAGGGAUGCGGAAUUCCAGGUGUAGCGGUGAAAUGCGCAGAUAUCAGGAAGAACACCCGUGGCGAAAGCGGCUCUCUGGAACGGUACUGACGCUGAGACGCGAAAGCGUGGGGAGCGAACAGG
rnacentral:rRNA from 1 species